rnacentral:rRNA from 1 species
GAUCUCGUACGUGACCUGCGGAGGGACAUUACACAAAUAUGAAGGCGGGCUGGAACCUCUCGGGGUUACAGCCUUGCUGAAUUAUUCACCCUUGUCUUUUGCGUACUUCUUGUUUCCUUGGUGGGUUCGCCCACCACUAGGACAAACAUAAACCUUUUGUAAUUGCAAUCAGCGUCAGUAACAAAUUAAUAAUUACAACUUUCAACAACGGAUCUCUUGGUUCUGGCAUCGAUGAAGAACGCAGCGAAAUGCGAUAAGUAGUGUGAAUUGCAGAAUUCAGUGAAUCAUCGAAUCUUUGAACGCACAUUGCGCCCUUUGGUAUUCCAAAGGGCAUGCCUGUUCGAGCGUCAUUUGUACCCUCAAGCUUUGCUUGGUGUUGGGCGUCUUGUCUCUAGCUUUGCUGGAGACUCGCCUUAAAGUAAUUGGCAGCCGGCCUACUGGUUUCGGAGCGCAGCACAAGUCGCACUCUCUAUCAGCAAAGGUCUAGCAUCCAUUAAGCCUUUUUUUCAACUUUUGACCUCGGAUCAGGUAGGGAUACCCGCUGAACUUAA